rnacentral:rRNA from 1 species
AUUGAACGCUGGCGGCAUGCUUUACACAUGCAAGUCGAACGGUAACAGGUCUUCGGAUGCUGACGAGUGGCGAACGGGUGAGUAAUGCAUCGGAACGUGCCCAGUCGUGGGGGAUAACGCAGCGAAAGCUGUGCUAAUACCGCAUACGAUCUAUGGAUGAAAGCGGGGGACCUUAGGGCCUCGCGCGAUUGGAGCGGCCGAUGUCAGAUUAGCUAGUUGUGGGGUAAAGGCCCACCAAGGCGACGAUCUGUAGCUGGUCUGAGAGGACGACCAGCCACACUGGAACUGAGACACGGUCCAGACUCCUACGGGAGGCAGCAGUGGGGAAUUUUGGACAAUGGGCGCAAGCCUGAUCCAGCAAUGCCGCGUGCAGGAGAA